CAGUCGCCGCGGGAAUACGGAGGGUGCAAGCGUUAAUCGGAAUUACUGGGCGUAAAGCGCACGCAGGCGGUCUGUCAAGUCAGAUGUGAAAUCCCCGGGCUUAACCUGGGAACUGCAUUUGAAACUGGCAGGCUAGAGUCUUGUAGAGGGGGGUAGAAUUCCAGGUGUAGCGGUGAAAUGCGUAGAGAUCUGGAGGAAUACCGGUGGCGAAGGCGGCCCCCUGGACAAAGACUGACGCUCAGGUGCGAAAGCGUGGGGAGCAAACAGGAUUAGAUACCCGAGUAGUCCCUGUCUCUUAUAC
rnacentral:rRNA from 1 species